rnacentral:rRNA from 1 species
UUUUGGACAAUGGGCGCAAGCCUGAUCCAGCAAUGCCGCGUGAGUGAAGAAGGCCUUCGGGUUGUAAGGCUCUUUUGUCAGGGAAGAAACGGUGAGCUCUAAUACAGUUUGCUAAUGACGGUACCUGAAGAAUAAGCACCGGCUAACUACGUGCCAGCAGCCGCGGUAAUACGUAGGGUGCAAGCGUUAAUCGGAAUUACUGGGCGUAAAGCGUGCGCAGGCGGUUAUGUAAGUCAGAUGUGAAAUCCCCGGGCUCAACCUGGGAAUGGCAUUUGAAACUGCAUGGCUAGAGUGUGUCAGAGGGGGGUAGAAUUCCACGUGUAGCAGUGAAAUGGGUAGAGAUGUGGAGGAAUACCGAUGGCGAAGGCAGCCCCCGGGGAUAACACUACGUCAUCACGGA